GUUCUUAUAUAUUGUAAGUAAGUUAAUAUGGUUUAAACAUUUUGAUGUAGAUACUUUUGUUUUACUUUAAAAUGUAAAUGUGCUAAUAGUCUUUUUUAAUUUUUUCAGUUCCUGUCUGUUAGUUUGGGCUUGAAGUAUUCCAUAAAUUGUCUUAUUCUUAUUAUUGAUGCUUCAAAUACAUGUAAUGGAGUAAUUGGUUGUAUGAAGUUUGAAACAAUGCGUCAUCAUGAAUAAGAAAACCAAAGGCAAAGAGAUAGACGAAAUCGACUUGGAAAUGGUUGCAACGAUCGUCGUAAGAGGAUAACUUAUCCUAUGUCAUCUGAGAAUAAUAAUUUUAAUGUUGCAGAAAUGCAACAAUGUAUAAUGGAUGAUGAUUUCGAUACUUCUACUUCAAAUGAAAAGAUACCUAAUAUUUCUAAUCAUACAUUAGAAGUAAAUUUAAUGAAUUAGAUAUAGCAACAACUGCAUAUGUAUUACCGAUACGCAACAAUUGUAAACAUUAAGGUGCAAAAAGAUUUCAUAGAGAAAGUAAAGAUUUUUAUUGUUCUGAUGGAAAAGUUCAUAUCUCUAUGCCUAAUUCACCGAAUGGACUAUACAAUUUAUUCACUUCUAAAGAACCUAAAUGCAUGGAAUUUAAGAAAAUUGCAUGAGGAUUUAAUAACGAUUUUGUUUUUACUUCAUUUGGUGUAAAAUAUGACAAAGAACUCUUUAAAGCAUACAGAGGUAUUUACACAUUUAGAGUUCAAAGACAAGUAUAUCAUUAUGUAAAUGAACUCGUUCCACAGAAUAGUAUACCUCCUUAUAUACAGUUAUAUUUUUAUGAUACAGAUAAUGAACUUGAAAAUCAUAUGUAAAUUUCAGAGAAUUUUGUCUAAUGUAUUUUAAGUACUUUAAUUAAAAUCUUGAAGGUUAAUCCAUGUAGUACAUUUUUCCAAUCGUUAAGUAAUAUGACUAAUUUGCAAGACUACCGAAUACACAUAAGAUGUGAUUCAUGACUUGAUAUAAGAGUUUUUAAUACUCAUACAGCAUCUCAGGUAGUUGCUGUAUGCGUAGAAAAUGAUAAGAACGCUAAUCAUCGUCUUCAUGAUAUUAUUAUAUAUGAUAAUUCUGAUGAUUCACAUAAAAUUCAUUAUUAUUACGGUUGUAAUGAUCCUUUGCAGUAUCCAUUACUUUUUCCAUAUGGAGAAUCUGGUUGGCAUGAGGGUAUUGAAAGGUGUAGAAAAAGGUCUUUUCAGCUUGAACAUUUGUCUGAAUUUGUUGCAAUCUCUAAUACGAUUACCUUUGCAGCUGAAAUUAUUGAAAAAGAAAAUAAAGGUUUGAAAAAAAAAAUUUGUUUAUUUAUCUAAGUUUUUUAGUGUCAAUAUUGUAAAUGAUUGAUAAUUUAUUUUGCAGUACUU
rnacentral:lncRNA from 1 species